rnacentral:rRNA from 1 species
GACGAACGCUGGCGGCGUGCUUAACACAUGCAAGUCGAACGGUGAACUCCGCUUGCGGGGGGAUCAGUGGCGAACGGGUGAGUAACACGUGGGCAACCUGCCCUCAGCUCUGGGAUAACUCCAAGAAAUUGGGGCUAAUACCGGAUAUGACCGCUGACCGCAUGGUCUGGUGGUGGAAAGAUUUAUCGGCUGGGGAUGGGCCCGCGGCCUAUCAGCUUGUUGGUGGGGUAGUGGCCUACCAAGGCGACGACGGGUAGCCGGCCUGAGAGGGUGACCGGCCACACUGGGACUGAGACACGGCCCAGACUCCUACGGGAGGCAGCAGUGGGGAAUAUUGCGCAAUGGGCGAAAGCCUGACGCAGCGACGCCGCGUGGGGGAUGACGGCCUUCGGGUUGUAAACCUCUUUCAGCAGGGACGAAGCGAAAGUGACGGUACCUGCAGUAGAAGCACCGGCCAACUACGUG